ACCAGCAUGGUUUAAUGGUUUGAGUGUUGGACUAUGACUCUGGAGACCUGAGUUCGAUUCCCAGCUCAGCCA
rnacentral:tRNA from 1 species